AGAAAGAUAAGCUAAUUAAGCUAUUGGGUUCAUACCCCACUUAUAGAAGUUAUACUCUUCUUCUUUCUA
rnacentral:tRNA from 1 species